AACGAACGCUGGCGGCGUGCCUCAUACAUGCAAGUCGUACGCGAAUCCUGCCGCAAGGCAGGGUUUGAGUGGCAAACGGGUGCGUAACACGUAGGUAAUCUUCCUUUGAGUUGGGGAUAAACCCUCGAAAGGGGGUCUAAUACCGAAUAACACUUCUGGUUGGCAUCAACCGGAAAUUAAAGAUGGCCUCUGCUUGCAAGCUAUCGCUCGGAG
rnacentral:rRNA from 1 species